rnacentral:rRNA from 1 species
UACGUAGGGUGCGAGCGUUAAUCGGAAUUACUGGGCGUAAAGCGUGCGCAGGCGGUUCGUUAAGUCAGCUGUGAAAGCCCCGGGCUCAACCUGGGAAUUGCGGUUGAAACUGGCGAACUAGAAUCUGGCAGAGGGGGGUGGAAUUCCAGGUGUAGCGGUGAAAUGCGUAGAUAUCUGGAGGAACACCCGUGGCGAAAGCGGCGCGCUGGACCACUACUGACGCUGAGGCGCGAAGGCGUGGGGAGCGAACGGG